GUGUCAGCAGCCGCGGUAAUACAGAGGUCCCAAGCGUUGUUCGGAUUCACUGGGCGUAAAGGGUGCGUAGGUGGCGGGGUAAGUCUGAUGUGAAAUCUCCGAGCUUAACUCGGAAACUGCAUCGGAUACUGCCUUGCUCGAGGGUUGGAGGGGGGACUGGAAUACUUGGUGUAGCAGUGAAAUGCGUAGAUAUCAAGUGGAACACCAGUGGCGAAGGCGAGUCCCUGGACAACUCCUGACACUGAGGCACGAAAGCUAGGGGAGCAAACAGGAUUAGAUACCCUGGUAGUCC
rnacentral:rRNA from 1 species